rnacentral:lncRNA from 1 species
CUUCAACCAAAAUCACCUCACCCUGGACACCUGUGCCGUGCUGUUAAAGCACUUUUCUGCCCUUUCAGGCAGAGGAGGGAAACCUGAACUCCUGAGUGAAUGUUAAAUAGUGCAUAGAAUUGGAGGGGUACCAUGACCCUUGCAAGGAGAUGGAGUACGUGCCUAAGGAAAAGCUGAAGAUCUGGAAUUCCACACAAGCUUAGCCAUGAUCCAUAUGAUGGGGCAAUGUAGCCAAGCUGUGGGUUGACUGAGGUUUGCAUCACUGCCCUGACCCAGAUUGCAUCUGCAGUCAUUUGGAACUGACUACAUGCCUGAACUGAUAAAAGAGGCUGUGGAAAUAUGGAUCUCUGGGGACUUGGCAAGAUGCUUGUGCCAUAUCCACCUGUCCUCUGGACGACAAAAGAGCGAGGAUCGGCAGUGUGUCAUUUAUUCUGCAAAAACUGACCAGAUGAGAACUGCUGUGACAGCCAAUAGAAGAAAUUUAAAAUUAAGGAAAGGCUGGUAUGGAACAAGAGGAAAAUUAUCCCAGAAUUUUGCACUUUUUUGUAAUCAAAGUCCUGUCUUUGGAGGGUAUUAGAUCAACUACACACUUGGUGAGGCCUGUGAGGAUUUUCCUUAUGUAACGCCUGCAGGAUUUAGCCCUAGCAUAUCACACUCUUCUAAAAGUGAUGUCCAGUUAGCAAUAGGUGGGUUCUCUUGAGAAAAAUGCAGGAAGAAAACUUGGUGAGAGCUGGAUCCUCUGCAGUGUCGCCUCUCAUGAAGGAUUGACAAAAGGAAAAAAAAAAUAAGUGAACUAAUACUGGAAGGAUGGAUUGGAUGCUUCCUGUUGUAGAACAAGAUAAAAUCCUGUGACAUGUUCCUUCCUAUUACGUGGGACACCACUGCUUAUGAUAAAGAUUAAUUUCUAAAUGUCCAUUGUAAAGCUAUAGGUCAGCCAAUAAGAUGAGACUUGACUAAUUUUUCAUUUCAAAGUGUAUGAUCGUUUCAUGCCUUUAAUUGACAUCAGUGCAGUGUGUUGUUCAAUCCAGUGAAAUUUGAAUCCCACUAUGAAUUUGUUUUCCACAAAUAGAUUAUGAACAGAAGCCUUUGAUUUCUAUUAAUUAUGUAUUUUUGAGUGAAAAGCUAUUUUGUGUAUAUAUAUUUAAUAGCAGGAAAU